UACGUAGGAGGCGAGCGUUGUCCGGAAUUACUGGGCGUAAAGAGCGCGUAGGUGGCGCGAUACGACCGGUGUGAAAUCCUCCGGCUCAACCGUGGAGGGUCAUUGGAAACUGGGAGACUUGAGUGCAGAAGAGGAAAGUGGAAUUCCAUGUGUAGCGGUGAAAUGCGUAGAGAUAUGGAGGAACACCAGUGGCGAAGGCGACUUUCUGGUCUGUAACUGACACUGAGGCGCGAAAGCGUGGGGAGCAAACAGG
rnacentral:rRNA from 1 species